rnacentral:rRNA from 1 species
GCUUAUGGCCAUACCACCCUGAACAUGCCCGAUCUCGAAAGCUAAGCAGGGUCGGGCCUGGUUAGUACUUAGCCUGGGAAUACCAGGUGCUGUAAGCU